rnacentral:lncRNA from 1 species
AAAUAGAGAAAUAGGUAAAUCUUAUCGUUCGAUCUUCAAUUUAAAUUUGCAAAACAAAGAGCUACAUGAGAAGAAACCAACAGUUUUACUUUUUCAAUUUUUUUGCAUUGUUUUGAAGAUUGAGGAAAAAUGAGAAAGGUGUAUUAAAUCGAAGGAAGCAACAAAUAUUGCCAAGACAUAAUGGCCAUUACGGUCAUAAUGGUCCAACCUCCUGCACUUGCAAAAAUAACACCAAGGCAACACGAAUUAUGGUCAGGGCGUAAUGACCAUUAAGGUCGUAAUGUAUGCACAAGGCGACUUUCCAUCACCACUAUAAUCUUGUGAGCUUUCUUAAUCCUCUCCUUAUUAUUUCAAUUUUUACAUUGAGGAGAAUGUUUGAUCAAAGCAUAGGGGGUACACUUUCUUGUUUUCUUAGUGUGUUAAUUUUUUAAUCUUUGUUUGAAAUAAAAAUUAAAAAAAAUAAUUUAUCCUUGCUUGAAAGAAUUUUUUUUUGACGUCCUUGAUAGGGACCCAUAAUUUAUGUGCAUGUUAUUGUCGAAAAGGCAAUGAACUUAUGUUGAUAAAUUAGCAUAUUCUCUUAUUGCAUGUUCUCAUUUAUUUAGCUACUAAAUGUGAGUUUUGGACUUAUAUAGGGGGUUUGUGUUACAUUAUCAAAUACUAUGUCACUUUCCUUAUUUUGAAUGAUUAUUCACAAAUGAUUUUAUUUUCUAGAACUUGAUUUGCAAUUGUCUUAAGGCUAAAUUAUCUUGUGAUCAUGUUUAAAGAAAAAAGUACUAUAUGAGUUUGUUUUUUAGGCCUCAAGACUUGUUUGAUGUUUAAUAAUUUCCACUAGUUGCCCAUUUUGAGUCUUACAUGAAUUAUUUUUCUUGGUCCUCUGCUCUAAUGAUAAAACCAAUUUUUGGGUGCUUUUUUGAAUAUAGUGGAGAAACUUCUCAAAAGAAUUAUAAAAAAAAGUACAUGUAUGAAAGGAUACAAUAGGAUGUUUUACUCGUAGUAUCGAUCAUAUUGCACUCAUUACAAGUGAGAUCUCAUCAGAUGAAAAGGAAAAGUACAUAAAGAAAUGGUAAGCAGCGCCUUUAAUUAAAAAAAAAAAAAAAGAUACUUCAAAUGAUAAAGGAUCGUUUGAAUGGGUUAAACUCCAAUUGUUUAAAAAGGUUACAUGUAAUCAUACGUUUGUAGCCCUUUGAGUAUCCCCUUCUUUGUUUUCCAAACCUAUUGUCCCUCUAUACGGUUACAACCAUGAAAAGUUUUUUUGAUUUAUAUAUGCUCUCAUGAAAGAUGUUGUGGAGAUUUGAUUAAUAAUCAAGCUUAUGAUAGGACAUUAUGCUUUGGUGAAAUUUUGAGUCAAUACCCAUUACCAAAAAAAUCUACGAGAAUUUGAGAAUUUGAGAAUUGAGUGCUCUAUUGAUUAUUAUUAUGUUUUCAAAGGAGUCUAAGUCACUAAUUUGGAAUUGAAAACAUAAUAAUGAUCAAUAGAUCAAUAGAUCAAUAGUCACUAAUUUGAAUAAAACAUAAUUUGGUUUUCGAAUUUUCCGAUUGCCUGCACUUGAAUUGAAUGUUGAGUUCCCUAUUCAUGGUGUCUACUUAUUCAUAACUUUUUCCUAAACCAAUUGCUUGCGGACAAGAAAUGAUUCAAGCAUGGGAGAAUUUGAAAAGAUAGAAUUUAUCUAUUUUUAUAGCUUUUUUUGAUAAGUUAAUAUGAUUUUUUUAAUUCAAUAUUAGUUAUAUUUCACUACCUUAUUGUUAUGUUUUGGUUGUAAGGAGAAGUGAAGGAAUAAGUGAGGGUUCUUGGUGCAAGAGCCCCGAAGUCAAGUCGUGCAGUCAUGAUCCAUCCUAAUCAAGAAAAUGUAAGAAAAGCAAGUUCUAGCAAGAAUUGCGACAUGGUUGUAAUGGCCAUUGCAACAGUAAUGGUUGGAUGUUAAAAAAGUGAGAAUUUUCCAAACCAAAGAACAAAAGAUUACUGUUUGGUAGUAAUGACCAUUACCGUCGUAUUCUGCUCAACUGUUGUUGCUAAACCAUUUUUCUUUUGUGAAAUUUUGAUAGUUUAUUACAAUUAAAGCCCAUUAAGGCACCUAGGGAUAUAAAAGACACGAAAAUACUCAAUUUGAGACAUUCCUACUCACAAACUCUUUUGCUAUUCUUGUUUUUUAUUUUGUUCUCUUAACAGUUUGCUUGUUUUAC